GCCUAGGUAGCUCAGUUGGUUGGGCAUCCGACUUCAGAUCAGGUCAUGAUCUCACAGUUGGUGGGUUUGAGCCCCAUGUUGGGCU
rnacentral:tRNA from 1 species